CCUACGGGAGGCAGCAGUGGGGAAUAUUGGACAAUGGGCGCAAGCCUGAUCCAGCCAUACCGCGUGUGUGAAGAAGGCCUUUUGGUUGUAAAGCACUUUAAGCGAGGAGGAGGCUCUUGAGGUUAAUACCCUUGAUGAGUGGACGUUACUCGCAGAAUAAGCACCGGCUAACUCUGUGCCAGCAGCCGCGGUAAUACAGAGGGUGCGAGCGUUAAUCGGAAUUACUGGGCGUAAAGCGCGCGUAGGCGGCUUGUUAAGUCGGAUGUGAAAUCCCCGGGCUCAACCUGGGCACUGCAUUCGAUACUGGCAAGCUAGAGUAUGGGAGAGGAAGGUAGAAUUCCAGGUGUAGCGGUGAAAUGCGUAGAGAUCUGGAGGAAUACCGAUGGCGAAGGCAGCCUUCUGGCCUAAUACUGACGCUGAGGUGCGAAAGCAUGGGGAGCAAACAGGAUUAGAUACCCUGGUAGUCCAUGCGUAACGUAUGUCACUACGCCGUUCGGGUACCGUUCGUAGUCGUUAGUUGGCGCGNGCGUAACGCGAGUAAGUUAGUACCGCCGUGGGAGGUACGGUCGCGAGAACGUAAACGUACGAAGGAAGUUAGACGGACGNGAGGACGNGCGAGGCGACGACGAGGGGAGUAGG
rnacentral:rRNA from 1 species